rnacentral:rRNA from 1 species
GGCUCAGGACGAACGCUGGCUGCGUGCUUAACACAUGCAAGUCGAACGCUGAAGCCUGGGUGCUUGCAUCUGGGUGGAUGAGUGGCGGACGGGUGAGUAACACGUGAGUAACCCUGCCCCUGAUUUCGGGAUAAGCCCGAGAAACUGGGUCUAAUACCGGAUACGACCAUCUGCCGCAUGGCGGGUGGUGGAAAGUUUUUCGAUUGGGGAUGGGCUCGCGGCCUAUCAGUUCGUUGGUGGGGUAAUGGCCUACCAAGGCGACGACGGGUAGCCGGCCUGAGAGGGCGACCGGCCACACUGGGACUGAGACACGGCCCAGACUCCUACGGGAGGCAGCAGUGGGGAAUAUUGCACAAUGGGGGAAACCCUGAUGCAAGCGACGCAGCGUGCGGGAUGACGGCCUUCGGGUUGUAAACCGCUUUCAGCAGGGAAGAAGCCGUGAGGUGACGGUACCUGCAGAAGAAGUACCGGCUAACUACGUGCCAGCAGCCGC